AUCAAGCACUUUCAUUCAUUGAUGAUACAAAAUUCAUUUCUUGGAUUGGAAUUUAGACUAUCAGUUGUCAACUGGUUUUAAAGUGAGCCCUAACUUUCAUUAUGAAAUCAGAAGCAUCUGAGAUCACUGUAGCACAAUGGUGAUAAGGCAGCAUAGUGAAAACUGUGAUGACAAAAUGAUUAUGCUUAUGAAGUGGUUAGUCUAGAAAUAGUUCUGAUAUAAAUUAUAAAACUUGUGGCAUGCAGUGAAGCAGAAUUUAUAGAGCAAGGGUGUCAGUUCUUUCCUUCCAAGCACAAAGUUUGUCUCUCAUCAGUGGUAUUACACAUUACCAACAAAUAGAAACAAAAGUGUUCAAAAUUGUUAUUUCUGACUCAAAUCACUCCAAUAUGCCAUUCAAAAAUGGUGAAAAAAAAUUGAAAGAAUGUACAGAUUUAUAAAUGCUUAUCAAAGCUUUAAUUAUGCUUUAUUCUGUCUCUCAAAUCUCUAAUAUUAGAGUUACUAGUUUUAAAAGAUUGGACUCCCAACUUUUUUAUACAAGGCCCAUGGAUCUCAUUUGGAGGAAAGUAGAGACAAGGAUUUAAUAUGGUAUACAUUCACAUUUGGAAUCAUUCCAUCACAUCUCAACCUCCAGGCUAGAUAUACAGAAGAUGGUAUAACUAUUAAUCAUAUGACCUUAAUCAUGUAAGAUUAAAAUGGAAAUUAAAAAAGCUCUUCCCUGACAGGCAGUGAGGUUAAAAAAGCUUUUCUCUGGCAGGUGGUGAGCUACAGCUACCUGGCUGCACCUCAAGGCCAAAGCCACUCCAAAGAUGUGGUCUAUGGGUCUAGUGCAGCAGCCAAGCCUCCUUCCUCUGGCCACAGCUUCUCUGCCAGAUCUCCAACUCUUGGCCAGACACUUUCACUGGAAACUCAGAAAUCUGGUCAUACAGCAGCUCCUGGCCAUGCCUCAGACCAUACUCACCUCAGCACUACACCACCUGUUAUUACUGCCUUCCAGUCCUCAAAAUUAUCUCACAUUUCCUCUUCCCCAUUAGUCCAUUCCUCAUCAUUCUCUGCACCAUCACCUUUUUUCUCCUCAUCCUUCUCACCUUCUGCUCACUCAUCAUCUCCCCCACAACCAUCACUCCCUCCUGCCUCUCCAUUUACUCAUCCUGAAGCCAUAUUUGCCAUGCACCAAACUUCUGCCACAGUUCACCCUGCUGAUCCCAGCCAAUUUAUCAUCAAGGACUCCACUUUCCAGGAGGCUCUGGAAUGUAACUCCCACAGAUGGCAGGGAAACACUGCAUAUCUUCCCUCCCACAACAGCGAUGCACUUAAUGAAUUGGGCCAAGAUAAUUAGUGAAAGCUUUCUGUGUUAAAGAGAUGCAGCUAGUGAGCCAAUAUAUAUACUGAUCGUUCAAUUAAUCCUUUAUGUCAUAAAACUUCUCUGAAAAAAUCUAGUGAAUAAUUUUUCCUCUAUCACUGCACUGUCCUUGAUCUAAAUUACAUAUUAAAACUACACAUGAUAAUGUAAUGAUCAGUGUGCUUGGCUCACAAACCACAUAUAUAUAUAUGCUUGGCUUUUGUCUCCAAACUCUCCCCCAUAGAGAGACUGUAUUAACCUGCAGAAAUAAAGCUAUCAUUCAGGGAAACUGGUUUGUUUGCCAAACAAACAUUACAUUGCUGAAUAUUCUGUGGCACAAAAUGCUUUGUCAGGAAUUGUGGCAAUGAUAUUUCAAUCCUUGUCUUUGUAUCCUACAAUUUGUAUGCUGAACAUAAACCUUAUCAACAAGU